rnacentral:lncRNA from 1 species
CAUGGGCAAAAGAUGCAGUCAAAACAACAAAAACGGGGAGGUUACGCAGUUCAGAAAAUCCCACACAUUCUCAAGAAGGGUGUCCCCGCCAAGCUGAGAGAUACCUGGGACAUCAUGCUUUCCUGGAGGGGAAGGCUCCCUGCCCCCAUUCCUGUACAGCCGGGAGAGUCGCUCCUGUUCGUCAUCCCAUCUUCUCGCUCUCAUUUGCUGGGCUGACCUCUGCUGGUAUUUCAAGACUGUUUGGUGCCACCCUCUCUGAGAGAUGGCCUCCCUCAUCUGAUUUAGAUGCUUUUCUUUACCUUCUCAUAGCAGCUUGUACUAAUACUUGCUACCCCCUGUUGAAAUUGUCACCAGGCAGGUCUGUCUCUAAGACCAGACAGUCUGCUUUUGUCUUGGAAGGACACUUAUUACCCCUUCCUGUUCACAGGUAUUUAGUAUUCUUACCAUCAUCUUUCCCUGCUGUGCUCCCGGCAGACAAUUCUAAUCUGUCAUGACACUCUGAUGAUCCCAGACCCAGCUGCAUUAUCAUUCUCAGUCCAACACUCCAGGAACCAAGGGAUCACAAUCCACUUCUAAGAGGAAUCCAGCAUGUGCCUGGUCUUGGGCAUUCCCUGGUAGCUCCUGUUGUGGAAUUAGUGUGAGACCCAGAAGACUGUGGCCAAAGCUAUUAUGGACCCAUGGUCUCCGUGGAAUCAUCCCUCAUGACUUCUGCUCUCUGAUCACAUCCACACUCAUGUCAUCCUCGUUCUUCCAAG